rnacentral:rRNA from 1 species
CUAGUAAUCGCGGAUCAGAAUGCCGCGGUGAAUACGUUCCCGGGUCUUGUACACACCGCCCGUCACACCAUGGGAGUCGGAAAUGCCCGAAGUCUGUGACCCAACCGUAAGGAGGGAGCAGCCGAAGGCAGGUCGGAUGACUGGGGUGAAGUCGUAACAAGGUACC